AUGGCGCGCGCCAAGGGCAGGAAGCGCGCGGCCGCGGCGGCCGGCGACAGCCAGGCGGAGGCGGCGGCGAACGGCGGCCGGCCGAAGCGCGCCAAGGCGCCCCCCAAGCCCAAGCCGGAGCCGGAGUACGUCCACGAGCCGAGGAAUCUGGAGGAUCUUUGGCUGUCGGCUUUUCCUAUAGGGACUGAGUGGGAAAAUAUUGAUAAGAUUAAGGAGUUCAACUGGAACUUUGAAAAUUUAGAGAAAGCUCUAGAAGAAGGGGGCAAGCUGUAUGGGAAGACGGUCUAUGUAUUUGGUAGCACUGAGCCUCAACUGUUGAAUGUUGACGGUGAAUCGAAGAUAGUACUUAUUCCAGUUGUAGUUGCGGUUGAUUGCCCCUUCCCUCCAUCAGAUAAAAUUGGUAUAAAUUCUGUCCAAAGGGAAAAUGAAGAAAUAGUACCAAUGAGGGCGAUGAAAAUGGCUUGGGUGCCCUAUGUUCCACUAGAGGACCGGCUCAGCAGAAUUGACAGUUUGAAAACAAAAAUAUUCACUCUUGGCUGCACUCAGCGAAGGUCUGCCCUGAAGCAUCUCAAAGAAGAAAGAGUGAAGAAGUUUGACUACUGCAUGCCUUAUUAUAUGCCACUUAGUCCUCCUGAAGAUGAAGAUGACACAGUUGUCAAUAUCAUGUAUCCUCUAGAACCCCCGAUAGUAUGCGACUUCGACUGGGAAAUGGAUGAUAUGGAGGAUUUUAUUGAUGAGAAAGUCAAAGACGAGGUCUUGCCGGAGGAUGAGAAGGAAAAAUUCAAGGACUUCAUAAAGGAGAGAGUUAGAGAAAGGAAGAGAGAGCUGAAGCAGGCUAAAGAAGCCAGAAAGAAAGCUAUUGAUGAUAUGGAUCCAAAGUUGAAAGAGGCAUUUGAAAAUAUCCGGUUUUACAAAUUUUAUCCUGUAAAAACCGAUGACACUCCUGAUGUGAGCCAAGUACAGGCGAAGUACAUUAAUAGAUACUACCGCCAUGCGCAUGAACUGAUGUGA
rnacentral:rRNA from 1 species